GACGAACGCUGGCGGUAUGCUUAACACAUGCAAGUCGAACGAGAAGUCUUUUAUUGAACCUUCGGGGGAUAUAAGAGACAGACAGUGGCGAACGGGUGAGUAACGCGUGGGCAACCUACCUAUCGGAGCGGGAUAGCCUCGAGAAAUCGGGAGUAAAACCGCAUAACACGGAUAUAUCGCAUGAUGAAUCCGUCAAAACUCCGGUGCCGAUAGAUGGGCCCGCGUCUGAUUAGCUAGUUGGUAAGGUAAGGGCUUACCAAGGCAACGAUCAGUAGCCGGUCUGAGAGGGCGAACGGCCACACUGGAACUGAGACACGGUCCAGACUCCUACGGGAGGCAGCAGUGGGGAAUAUUGCGCAAUGGGGGCAACCCUGACGCAGCAAUACCGCGUGAGUGAAAGAAAGGUUUUUCGGAUUCGUAAAAGCUUCUGGUAA
rnacentral:rRNA from 1 species